AAUGCAGUACAUCUUUAAGCGUGUGGUGAAGAUGACCGGACUUAUCAUGUCGAAGAGCUAUCGUGAAGAGGUCUUGCUUGAUCCUGACGUAUUCUCGGAACGCACCUCGAACCAGAGUGAGCCUCUGGAUGAAAUCGACUUGCUCGAAAUUGGCGAACGAGUCAAGCACAUGAAUAUUGUCCCAAUCGCUCAAGG
rnacentral:snRNA from 1 species